rnacentral:rRNA from 1 species
GAGUAAGACCAAGCGGCGGACGGGUGAGUAACGCGUGGGUAACCUGCCCUAUACACAUGGAUAACAUACUGAAAAGUUUACUAAUACAUGAUAAUAUAUAUUUACGGCAUCGUAGAUAUAUCAAAGUGUUAGCGGUAUAGGAUGGACCCGCGUCUGAUUAGCUAGUUGGUGAGAUAACUGCCCACCAAGGCGACGAUCAGUAGCCGACCUGAGAGGGUGAUCGGCCACAUUGGAACUGAGACACGGUCCAAACUCCUACGGGAGGCAGCAGUGGGGAAUAUUGCACAAUGGGCGCAAGCCUGAUGCAGCAACGCCGCGUGAACGAUGAAGGUCUUCGGAUCGUAAAGUUCUGUUGCAGGGGAAGAUAAUGACGGUACCCUGUGAGGAAGCCCCGGCUAACUACGUGCCAGCAGCCGCGGUAAUACGUAGGGGGCUAGCGUUAUCCGGAUUUACUGGGCGUAAAGGGUGCGUAGGUGGUCUUUCAAGUCGGUGGUUAAAGGCUACGGCUCAACCGUAGUUAGCCUCCGAAACUGGAAGACUUGAGUGCAGGAGAGGAAAGUGGAAUUCCCAGUGUAGCGGUGAAAUGCGUAGAUAUUGGGAGGAACACCAGUAGCGAAGGCGGCUUUCUGGACUGCAACUGACACUGAGGCACGAAAGCGUGGGUAGCAAACAGGAUUAGAUACCCUGGUAGUCCACGCUGUAAACGAUGAGUACUAGGUGUCGGGGGUUACCCCCCUCGGUGCCGCAGCUAACGCAUUAAGUACUCCGCCUGGGGAGUACGCACGCAAGUGUGAAACUCAAAGGAAUUGACGGGGACCCGCACAAGUAGCGGAGCAUGUGGUUUAAUUCGAAGCAACGCGAAGAACCUUACCUAAGCUUGACAUCCCUUAGACCGGUGUUUAAUCACACCUUCCCUUCGGGGCUGAGGUGACAGGUGGUGCAUGGUUGUCGUCAGCUCGUGUCGUGAGAUGUUGGGUUAAGUCCCGCAACGAGCGCAACCCUUGUCUUUAGUUGCCAGCAUUCAGUUGGGCACUCUAGAGAGACUGCCAGGGAUAACCUGGAGGAAGGUGGGGAUGACGUCAAAUCAUCAUGCCCCUUAUGCUUAGGGCUACACACGUGCUACAAUGGGUGGUACAGAGGGUUGCCAAACCGUGAGGUGGAGCUAAUCCCUUAAAGCCAUUCUCAGUUCGGAUUGUAGGCUGAAGCUCGCCUACAUGAAGCUGGAGUUACUAGUAAUCGCAGAUCAGAAUGCUGCGGUGAAUGCGUUCCCGGGUCU